UCAAUAAUCAAUCAUAAAUUACACAAUCAGAACAAAAGGCUCCUUGAAAACAAACCUACAGUUAUUAAAUCAGUAAUAAUAGUUGAGUUGAACAUUUUUGCACUGUAUCUAUUUAUAUCAUCAUCUCAUCUUGUAUUGAAACUAACUUGACUAGGGAUAAAACAAUGAUUAAAACUGUUAAUUAGAACACAACUUUAAUCAUUAUUUGUCAAAAAUGAAGCUACAAAAUUAUAGAUUGUAGUGCAAAUUAUCCCAAAUGAUGGAUCUCAUUUAAAACAUAUCAUUUCAAGUGUUAGUCUUGGUCUUCUCGCUUUAGAUGGACUAUAAUUUUGCCAGAAAAAAACUGCUUUUACUUUUAAACUCUGAAGUUCAAUUGAUCAACCUAAUCAUGGAUGAGACAAUUGAUUAAACACACUGAUUUACUGGAAACCUACAAGGUUAACGAUUAAUAAAGUCUUCGUCCUCAAUCACUUUAAAUUGUGAUGUUUGUAUGCAUUACAAGGUGGCAAAAACACUUUGCUGUGAAAAUUGAAGUUCAGCAAAUGACUGUUGCUGUUAUACAAACAUUGUGUUACAAUUUUUUAAUUAAAUAGCCAAGUAAAUGAAGUAAAAGCUUCCGUUGAUUAAAACAAAAUUAAAUUGCGUUGACCUUUUAAAAUAUUGGUUUAACCAUGUUAAUGAGUUAACAUCUUCAUGGUUAUCAAAAAUAAUAUCACAAAACAUGCUACAAUCAGUUCAAUUAUUGAAAAUUAUUUCAAUUUGAAGGUUGUCUUGUUAAAAUAGUUGAAUAAUGAACUCUUAUUAACAUUAGCUACAGCUUAUUAUUAUUGAAUCUUUAAUCUUACAAUCAACCAAAAAUUAGGUAAAAUUUAGGUUUAAAGGCUGUGAACUUUCAAUUUGUCAAGAUUACCAGAAAUCAAUUGAAAUGUUUUCACUUUUACAUUUCAAUUUAAUCUAGAUAAAUACAAUUUACAUGAAAAAUGGUUAAGCUAAUCAUAUAGCUAAAGACUGAAUCAGCUGAAGAGAUUAACUAACCUGUAUUAAACUCUUCAUUUGAUUGUAAUAUGAUGAGAUUAAAAUGGUUAAAGGUUACCUUCAGUUUAAUCAUGUUAAGCUUUUCAAUCAGAUUGUCAUUCAAGUUCACUGUUAAAUUGAGAAUGGCUAUUACCGUCAAUUAAUCAGUUCAUCAAAGCAAAAAAUUAACCUUUUUUGAUUUUAUUGAAUCAAUUUGAGUCAAAGAUUGAUCAAAUUUAAAUUAAACCAGUUUUAAUGAUUUUAUAACAUUCAAAGUCUUUUUCAUUUCUUCAACUAUCGAAUGAAUAUUUUGUUUAUUAAUUUAAUUAGUAGAGUUGAUCAAUUAAUAUGAAUUACAAGGAAAACAAAUGAUGAUAAUUGCUAAUUAGCGUGAAUAAUGAAGAUUAAUUUGUAUUCAAAUUGAGCGGUUUUAACUUUCUAAUUUUAAACAUCAACGGUUUGGAUAAGUUAGUUGACUUGGUAACGCUUUUGAAAUUAUUAUCCGUUAAACUUUACCGUUUUUAUUUGGUUUGGUUUUAAUUAAAUUUAUUUCUAUUGCUAAUUUGCUGAAUUGUCAACUUGUUUUAUUUAAAUUUUUAUCUAAUCUAAAUCAAUUGAAAAUUUUCCAUGAUCAACAUUAGUUAAUCUGGCCACAAUCUUGAAACUCCUGGUAUACUUUUCAACGUUCAAAUGGUAACCUUAUGCUAUUGUAUGUGUGACUUUAGGUUUUAAAUUGUUCUUUAUAAGUUAAAUGUAUCAAUGAUUGAAAUUGAUAGUGGACCUGAGGGUCAAGACAAUCUAACAGUUUGUUAGGUUGAAAUGAUGGAGAUAAGGAAGAGAUGAUGACAAAAACAGCAGAAAGAGGAUAGAUUUAUAAUUUCAUCAACUUGACCAAUAUUAAGGAAUGGUGAUUCUAAUAAAAGUAAAUAUUCAUCUGCCUUUAAGGUAACAAUUAUGACGGCUCAAUUUGGAUGUUUUGUCUGGUCAAUUGUCCUGGAAAUUUCCUGUUUCAACCCAAAAUCGAAAGCCAUUUAGCCAGUUUACCAGAAUUUUGGAGGAAAAUUUUCUUACUCUAAAGUGAUGACAAUCAACAUGGUAAUGCUUGAAGCUGGUGAUAAAUUGUACAUUUUUCUGGCGCUUAUCCUUGCUAGUGACUUUUGUUGGUCUUUCAAUCACCGAAGAGCUCGAGAUAUCACCCUGAAGCUGAUAAGUCACGAAUCUCUACAAAGAAAGUGAAAGUGAAACAAAAGCCUAUCCAAAGAUGAAGAUUACCCCAAGAAGAUUGAUUACAAGCCAGUUUUUGACUAAAUAUAUUCAACUCUUUUCCGAUCCGGAAUGUAUUUUAUCAUGUUUAAAUGUUCACAAUAUUUAUUUGCUGUUAUUUGUGGAUUAGAGUGAAUCAUUGAAACAAUCUAAUCUGUCACGGGAAGCAAGACGCUGCUUAAAGGCAUUGGGUUCAUGUUUAAUUUCAGAUAAAAAUGUAAGCAGUUUGUUUUUUUGUUUCAAACAUGCAAAAAGACAGACAUCAACUUUGACUGAUUAAUGACCAUCAAUGACUGAUUAAUGAUGAUUAAAAUUUUGUUAAAUAUA